CACCCCCACGCCCUUUGACUUCCCAGGAGAAGAAGGGCAGGUGUGGCUGGAGGGGAAGCUGCAAAGCCAGUAACAAAGUGUUUGCUUUGAACCAACUUGGUUUUGGCUGCAUCACCCAGAGUUCACGCCAGAUUUGCUUCACACCCACUGACAGUGUCAGGCCUGGCACUAGGGACUCGAGGGAGCGGACGGAUGUGCGGGUACACCAAAGCGUGGCCAGAGGGACAGCUCAAUGGGCAGACGAAGGCUGUGUGGGUAGAUGGACAGUCAAUGGAGGAUGCUGGUGGGUGAGCGGGUGGACCGGUGGUUGGAUGACGGGAUGGACUUCUGCGUGCACGGCUGGCUGGUGGGUAGCCUGAUGGGGUAGCUGCAUACCUUUGGGCGGAUGAAGCAGGUUCAGCUCACAACCGGAAAAGUAGCAGGUCAAGGUUCCCAGAGUAUGAAAUGUCAGCCUCCAGCGGCAAUGACAUUCACCCAGAGACACUAAAAAUAGACGCAAAACAGAAGCAUCAGGUCUUGGGCGACUGAAGAAAUAAGAGACAAGAACGUGAACUUGAGAAGGGUCAGCCUAGAAGGACCUUGCUCUUUCAAGGAUGACCUUGCCAUAUGUAAAAUUCAGAUGGAAGCAGAACCUGCAGUGAGAUGUGACCCCGGGGAAGUCUGGGGUUUGGCAGGACUCCUCUUCUUGGCCCAAGAAGGCACCGUUUGUUGUCCUUCCCAGCAAUGAGGCAGCACAGUCCAAGAGAACGUCUGUGGUGACAGAAAUGUUCUCCAUCUGCUCUAGACAACAGGGAGCUACUAUCCCCACGCAGGCGUCCAGCCCUUGACAUGUGACCAUUGUGUUUCAGCCACAAAAUUAUCCCUUUGAUUUAAUUUUAUUUUAUUUAGACUUAAAUAGCCAUAUUUAAAUGGCAGCUCGUGGCUACCGUACUGAGUGGCAUGGUUUUAGGCCCUAGGGAAAGGAGAGCUACAAUUGAUUAGCAAUGUCUACCAGGGAGACAGGACAGGAAGGUAAGAUACGAGCGCUGCGUGACUGAAUGAGCAAGGAAACUGGUGUGAGGUAGGUCACCAGAGGCCCAAGUCGUUGAUGCUGGUGCCUGCACAGUGUUCACAUUUAGAAGAAAAAAAUAUCUGUGAAGUUUAGUGCCACAUCCCCCCAUCCUUCAGUCUCACUAUCUUUGCUCCAGGCAACUGCCAGUCUGCUAACUGGUUUCCCUCCCUGGGGUCCCCUAUUUCUAAUGCAUUCUCUACACAGCAGCCAGAAGAGUCCUUCCAAAAUACUAACCCAACCACGUUCUACCCUGCUCAAGACCUUGAUCACCACAGCCAUCGACAGCCUUCCAUACCAUGCCUCUCUGGUCUUGUCCCCUUUCAUACUUCUCCGUUUCCACCUCACUGAUGCUAGCUGGAUCUUUUGCUGCUCCAACGGCCAGGAAGCUCCGAAGACAAGGGCUAUCUCUUACCCCAUCUUGGAACCCCCCCACCCAAAGCACAGGACCUAAAUACCUCCUACUGGAAGGUUCACAUGAUUCCAGGAACUCCCAUGCAUUUUCCUAUUGUGCCCUCAAAAAUAAGAAGUACCAUUAUUGCUGUGUUUCAUAGAUGAGGAAGCUGAAGCUCAAAGAGGGGAAGGGUUUGGCUAAGGACAGGCAUGAAAAUGGCAGAUGUGAGACACAGACCUGGGUAGGUGUCACCCUCAAACCUUGCUUUCUGCACAGAGGACUCUGCUUCAACAGAGUGCUGUGCUGAGAUUGGAAACCAGGUCACAAGACUCCAGUCCAGUAUUUCUUCCACUACUAACUCAAUAUAUAUUAGGUGAAAGAAGGGAUGGAUGGAUGGAUGAUGGAUGGAUGGAUGAUGGGUGGGUGGAUGGAUGGAUGGGUAGGUGGAUGGAUGGAUGGGUGACAGAUGGAUGAUGGAUGUGUGGAUAGACGGAUGGAUGGAUGGAUGUGUGGAUAGAUGGAUGAAUGGAUGGAUGGAUGGAUGGAUAGAUUGGUGGACGUGUGGAUAGAUGGAUGGACAUGUGGAUGGACGCAUGCAUACACUCAAGAAUGAAUGAAAAGUCAACGAAACACAGUAAGAAGUGAAGUAAAAGGUCAUGACUAAGGAAGUGGGUAAGAUAAUGGUCUGCCUUCUUCGUAAGAAUUUUUCAGGUUUAUCAAAAAAUCAGGUCGCCCAAAACAUUCUUUGAGGCUUUUGUUUUUAAAGAGAUAAAGUGAAUGGUAAGCCCUGUGUGUAUCAAGAAAGCCCCAGGCUGUGCCAGGGCCUGUUUCCCUCUCUCUCCCUCUGCCACCACCCCCACCUCCUCUGCACGCUCACUGAGCUCCUCCCCUAUGCCGCUUUCCCAUGGGAAGGCUGAGAAACAAUAGCAAUUUCUUCUGAAUGGAUCUCUUCCCUGAGCCAAAGAGUAAACAGGAGCCAGGGAAGAGCCGGCCGGUGUGUAGCUACUCCGCGGGGAUUACAUAACCAGGACAUACCUGGGAGAGGCGCUGAUCCAGGGGAUUUUAACAGGGGUGGGAGGAGGCAGGGCGCACCCAGCACAGGAAUGGCCGUGCAGGUACCUGACCUCACUGGGAACUGGAGCCAGAGUGUCCGGGAGGAAGGAAACUCGAGUGUCACUUUCCGAGUGCGUUCUUACACUAAGAUAGGUCCCUGCUCGAUCAUUUUGUUUAGUCUUCACAAUAGUGCACCAGGACUGGACCUGCAUCAGGACAGGAGCCAAAGAGAAGCCGGACACUGCCGCUGCGUGGGAAAGCGUCGGUUCUGGAGAUACAUCGGUGAGCGUCCCCAUCCGUAAAGUGGAGACAGUGUGAGGAUUCCGUGAGGGUAUGUGGUGAUGCCUGCUGGGCACUGGUGAGCCCAUAGACCUGUGUGUGCCUGCAGAGAAGCUUCACGGAGGUGUCCCUGUGCCUGGACAUCCCUGCUGUCUGGGCCAUAUGGGGCUCCUGGACCAAACAGGAAGAAACUGAGGCUCAGAGAGGCAAAUGACUGACCCAAGUUCACACAACUAAUGAGAUGGUGGAGUUAGGAUUUGAACCCAUGUCUGUCUGACUCAGGCCUGUGGCAGACAGAGGUGAGUCGGCAGCCACUUUCCCUCCCAACUAGAGAAGCUGGAGGGAGAGCCCUGGGCUGGAGACACAUCUCUAGCCUUGACACUCACCUGACGUGUGUCCCCGGAAGGCACUGCGCAUGUUGGGGACUCUGCCACAUGUGGGCAAUCAGACAGGAGUGAAAACCCAGGUGGGUACAGGUGGAGUUGCUUGGUUGCAGUCCGUGGGGCCCUGGAGGUCCCCUUAGAGUCUCUGGUGCUACGGCUCGGAGGUGAGGGGUCUCCGGACACACUGGCUGGGACCAACGCCAGGGCUCGUCCAGCUUCAGCAGGCUGAGACUCUGGCCAAGAAAACCAAGUCCCCGCAGCCGUCACUGGAAAGGCAGCUGGACAGAGAGAAGACCCUUGAUUUACCUGGGCUCCUAAUCUCACCUGGCUGAAGGUGUCCCCCUUGGACGUGCACUGGACCAAGGUCAACCGCUCCUCUGGAACCACUUUCCCAUCUCUAUCCGGAGCCCAUUUGGAAGCCAGGGUGGGUUAAGAAUGUGGGGAUUUUUAUAGGGCAGGAGUCUGGGAGGUCCUGGGCCUGGCAGGGAGGGACCUGUGGGAGGAGCGGAGGGGGGUUGGGACCACAUGUGCCCCAGAGCUGGAGGGGGGGCGGCAGUGGGAGCCGGAGGCCCCGGGCAGGCUGAGGGAGCCAGGCUCCCUCCAUAGGCACCCUCGUCCCUUCUGUGCUCGCCACGGCCUCGGCGGGGUGGGUGCCUGGAGCUGACCUCCCGCCACGAUGCAGCCACCGGCUCCGGGUCCCUGUGGGGGGGCCAGGCUGGGAGGGGCGGGAGGGGCACGGUGGGAGUCAGGGGCUUGCUGUUCCCAGCACACCCUGCGCCGGCGGCCUGGCCUCCACUGAGCAGCCGUCAAUCCGUCCCCCGGGAGGCAGAGUGCAGGCUCUGCCCCUUGUCUAUCUUCAGGAACAUUCGUAGCCUGAGUGCGGGCGUUCCCACAGUGCGCCGGCUGCCCUGUGAGAGGAGGGUCCCUGCCCGCCCAGGCCUGGGACCCUGGCUCCUCCCAGGGCCUGUGUCUCCCAUCGCACCACUAGGCACACCCAGUCCACCUGAGACCCUUGCAGCUGUCCAGCCACAGAGCACAUGGGGCUGCUUGUCGGGCUCCUUGCUGGCCCUCCCUGAGGGUGUGGGGAGGAGCUGCCUGCCCACCAAGGCAGGGAGAGCAGAGCCUCUGCCGGCUGCUCCUCAGGAAGGGGUGGGAAAGCCGGGACAGGAGGUGGCCUGGAAGGCGGGGGUCUCUCCUCAUGCCCUCACCUGCAUUGUCCCCUCUGGGCAUUCCCCUUGCCUGACCAGGGGCCUGAAAUCCCCUUGCACCCGGCCGGCUCCCUCCCUCUGACCUCCCCGAGUCUCUCCCUGUCCCCACGCACUGACCCUCCAUACCCGCUGGUUCCUCACUGGUCUCUGGUCAGCCCCGGGUCGUCCAGCUUUGAGCCUGAGGUCUGGGAAGCCCCUCUCUGCCCAGGAGCCUCAUUUCCCGGCCUCCUCUGCUCACAGCCAGCCCAGUGGACCUCUGGGCCCCAAGGUCCACUCGGCCCUCCCGUCUUUUCUCCCUUCCUAGGCAGGCUGGGGGGGACCCCCUGUCCCCAGCCUCCCCACGGGCCAGCAGCCUAAGGAGAGACCCCUCUGAUGUUUUUAGUAACUGCGUGGGACCCCAGCAUCUAGUCAGGACAGAGCUCCCUGCUCUUGGUAGCCUGGCCAUUUUCCUCCCCACCACGGAGGCAGAAAGGUGCUCCCUCCCGAGGGAGCACACCCCCACUGGCCGUACACCGUGUGGAAGAUUCUGGAGGGUCACCGCAUCCUCUCCCCCAGGGGAAAGACAUGCCAUCUGCAGCGUGGGGCAGGAGCACCACCUGACCUACCCUCCAGGCAGAAUCCACUGGAGAAAAUAGGGAUCAUGGCACAGCAGACCGUGCUUAUGGUGGAGGGAACACAGAUACACACGGUCUCCAUUUCCCAAAACCAUUUCUAGUUCCAUGGGAUGUCAACAGGAUUGAAGAAGUUUGGGAAUCUUGGAAGGAAGCAAAGUUUUCACUGAGGACUGGUCAGGGCCUCCACUGCACCCCGCCAACAGGAGAGAGCAACCAGAGUUUCUCAAGCUAAACUGACCUCGGAAAUUCUGUCUCUGAAACAUCUUAUGGGACCAGUGUUCCUCGGAACCCUCUUUGAGAAGCACCACCCCAGUUGCCCACAAAGCCCCAAAGUGCUAGGUUUCUGGCUCUGGCCUAGCCUGGUGUGGGGUUGGGGUCAGAGGAGGAUGCUUAGAAAGCUCCAGGUACCAGGUGUGGGCUCCUGGCAUCCCCCACCCACUUUUAGUGACUGAGGCCUGCACUGGCCCCCCUGCUCUGAGGAUUAUGUGGUGCCAAAGCCCACAACACCACCACCAAGGAUGUGGGGGCCAAAUGGCUACCCCUCCUGGGGCCCUGGAGACACAGCACAGUCUUCCACGGCCCAGUGGAGCCUGCAGCCCACAGCCUGGGAUGAAAGCUUCAGGAGGCAUCGGGAAGGCCUGGACAGGUGGCUGGGUCCCCUAGGGAGGAAGAAAGCAGGUGGGGUCUGCUCCUGCCCCUCCUAGACCUCUCCUUGCCCGCUACGCUCUCCUCCAGCCAGGAGCCUCCAGCAGGCAGGCCCCCAGGGUCUGGGACGUCUGGCCACAGAGCUGACAAAUGUGGGACCCAGCACCUGUGAGUGGGCGUGGCCCAAAUCCAGGUGGGGACCAGGCAGGUAACAGCUGGCCCAGCACCCCAGCUACCUGGCUGGAGGGACGGCUGGUUGCCCAGGGCACUCCGCCUUCCAGCCUGACCCCAAAUAGCCAACCACAUCCCGCAGCAGCACCUAUAAUCUGGCUGGAACCUCUUCUAUUGAUUCAGCAUCUAAUCUGGCUUCUCAUCUGAUCUGCGAAGGGCCCUCCACGCCUCUCCUUUCCGCUCGCUGCUUUCCUAAUCCUCUAGGCACUGCUUACUUAGCGCUCUUUCCUGAGCACCCGCCAGCUCCUUCUUCCCCUUGACAUUCCUGCCCCCGUCUCCCUCCCACUCUGCCUCCCAGCCAUGGCCUUGCCUCAACGCAGGGCCCUAGCUGGGCAACCUUGAGUCCAGGUGCAUUGCUGGAGCUCACAUCAGCCAUCCUUUCCUGCCUUCCUUCACAUACCGGCUGCCCUGAGUGUCUGCUCUGUCCCAGCACAGGCCCCACCUCUGUGUUCCUCUCCAAAAACAGUGCAUCGCUGGGGGGUCUCCAUGGGCCCCCUGGGGCAGUUACAACACCCCCUCACCCCCACCCCUGAGGCUGAUGAGAUUACACCCACUGCGCACAUGAGCAAACUGAGGCCAGAAGUUGCUCUCAGGGGCUCCGUUCACACAGCUAGGAGAGACAGAAAGGGAGUUUACGUCCUCUAGACUAAACUACAGAAGGCUGUCCUGGUGGGCAUUUCCUUGCCCGAUACUCAUGCUGACCUGCACCAGGUGGCCCUGUGACAGCUCUGAGCCUUGGGCCCCAGGGAAGCCAUACUUUACAGAAUGUGACCCAGGCUCUGACACUGUCCUGGCUUGAAGGGUCCAUGCCCAUCCCUGCCGGGCACCCUUGUUCCACCCACUGCAGACACCCUGGGCAGCACCUUCCCCGUGAAACAUCAGGCUUUGAUGUCCUUGUGGAGAGAGAUGAUUCUACUCCUAAUCGUUGAUUGGCUGCAGGGGGGUGGGGGGACACUGGAAAGGCACACCUGACAAGCCUCCAUCCUUGCCCAGCAAGAGAGGACAGGUCCCAGCCCCACGCCGCCCCCAGCCCUCCUCUCGCCCACGAGCGCAGGGGCGUGGCCUGAGCCUGGGCUCCCCAGGGUAGGCUGGGGCUCCUAGGCAGCAGGACCAUGGGCAGGACCUGCAGGGCCAAAUGCAGGUGCUCUUGUUCAGAAAUGAUAAAGUUCCAGGCAGAUACUGCAGAGCAGAGCCAAGCAUGCUCCCUGCAGGGCGUGGGGCCCCAUCGCACCAUCGCUCGCCAUACAGCUGGCCUUGCACUGGGUGCUCAGCAUGGCUCUAGGCUCAAGAUGCAAGGGAGAGUGUAGUAUUUAGGGGAAGGCUGAGAGAUGUCACAGCCCCAGUGUGGGUGGGGGAGAAGGAGCCACAGAGGCCCAGGGACAGCUGAACUUGGAGAGGCAAGCCGUGUGCUCAGUGGCAGGCGGCCUGCUCCAUGUGUGGCAGAGGUGACCCAGUCCCAGCAAGGGCCUUGGAAAGCAGCCAGCCCGGUCCCUUCACAGUGUGGGCAGUGGGGACCAAGUCAGGGGUGGGGGUAGGGAUAGGGCAGCAACCUGCUGGAAGUCACACGACUCGGCAAGAAGGGAGCCGGGGUCUAUGUGGGUAUUGAGUGCCCUGGUCUUGGCCCAGAUCUGGCACCUUCUGCCUUCUUGGAAUCCACGAGGAGAAAUUUGGGUUUAGAGGGUACAAGAGUCAGAUCAUGUCAGCUACCUUGAGAUGCAGCCCAGAGCAGGGGGUGGUGUUGGACUUAUGUUUUCAGAACCAAAGUGGGAAAUGGUCUCUCUCUUGGCCCUAGAUAUCUAGUUGUCACUCUCUGUUUACUCAGCUGUCUUCCCACCAGACUGAGGCUGACAUGGCAGGUGCUCAGUGAGUGUUUGUGGGUGGA